rnacentral:rRNA from 1 species
GACGAACGCUGGCGGCGUGCCUAAUACAUGCAAGUUGAGCGAUGAAGAUUGGUGCUUGCACCAAUUUGAAGAGCAGCGAACGGGUGAGUAACGCGUGGGGAAUCUGCCUUUGAGCGGGGGACAACAUUUGGAAACGAAUGCUAAUACCGCAUAACAACUUUAAACAUAAGUUUUAAGUUUGAAAGAUGCAAUUGCAUCACUCAAAGAUGAUCCCGCGUUGUAUUAGCUAGUUGGUGAGGUAAAGGCUCACCAAGGCGAUGAUACAUAGCCGACCUGAGAGGGUGAUCAGCCACAUUGAGACUGAGACACGGCCCAAACGCCUACGGGAGGCAGCAGGAGGGAAUCGUCGGCAAUGGACGAAAGUCUGGCCGAGCAACGCCGCGUGAGUGAAGAAGGUUGUCGGAUCGUAAAACUCGGUUGGUAGAGAAGAACGUUGGUGAGAGUGGAAAGCUCAGCAAGUGACGGUAACUACCCAGAAAGGGACGGCUAACUACGUG